UCUCAUUCAUAUUGGGCCAGUCGGUUCCUAGUGUUAGUAGUACUCAGGCCUGUGCAAUGUGCAGCAAUAGCAGCAACUACUCGUGCGAGACUGCCAGCCAGACCCUGGCAUGGAUCAACGCCAUCGUCGACUUCAUAAAACCCUUCUCUUUCUUGACCAACGCUCACGUCGUCAAUUUCUUCAAGGAUAGACUGUGGGAGGCGAUUGAUGAGGAAUGGAUGGAUUGCUUACGGGAGGAAGCAGUCGAAAAUCUGCUCCAAAUUCCUUGCGGAGUGGUGCAGGAUCACUGGCCGGCUUCGCUGAAGGAAUUUAUUGUUACUUUGAGGUCUCUUGCGCUUCCUCGACAGCAGGCCGACUUGCAGGCGGUAUUGCCUGGAAUGAGCAUGACUUCACUCAACAGUGUUCUUUCGACGGGCAUGAAUUCGAAGAAGAAACAUGAAGUAGAAGUUCUUUCUGCUGUUGUCAAUUCAGUUGCAAACACCAUUGGUGCUCACGCAAUAAUUGAUGUUGGUGCUGGUCAGGGGUAUCUUGCACAAGUACUUUCCUUCCACUACCAACAUUCGGUAAUUGCAAUUGAUGCCUGCUCUCACCAUGGAAGGGUUACCAAUGCACGAGCAGAGCAAAUCAAGAAACAUUAUGCUGCUCAGAUGCGUAAAUCUGCAGCAGGAAACAGGAGUUUGAAUGUGCCUAAGACAGUCACAUGCAAUGUGAUGUCUAUUGACAUGUUGAAAGCUUUGGCUGAUACAUCACUGCAUAAAGAUAAUGCCUCUGUACUACAAUCUUCCUGCAAUGCAGAUUGUGAAACAUCAUUGGUUCUUGCUGGGCUUCAUGCUUGUGGAGAUCUUUCGGUGACGAUGCUCAAGACCUUUAUGGAGUGCGAAGAGGUUAAAGCAGUUGUUAGUGUUGGCUGCUGUUACAACCUAUUGUCUGAAGAGGGUUUCAACCAUGUGGGGUCUCAAUGUGGUUUUCCCAUGAGUUGUGGUGUUAAAGCUGCUGGCUUGUCACUUGGGAAAAGUUCGCGUGACCUUGCUUGUCAAAGUGCAGAGAGAUGGAGUUGUCUGGAAAAUGAUGCUGGUCUCCAUAAUUUUGAGUUGCAUACUUUCCGCUCUGCUUUUCAGAUGGUUUUGAGUCUAUAUUAUCCUGAAGUUGUGAUAACCAGUCCAUCCAUUGGGCGUCAAGGGAAGGCUUUGCGUCGCCAGCAACGAAGGGGCAUUCCAGACUCUGCGAAUCCGAAAGAAAGCACAUGUUCAACAUUGCCUCAAUUAGCUUGUAAUAUGAAAGAAAGUGGCUCUCACCUAAGAACCACAAAAAUCGAAGAAGAUGACAGUUUUGAGAUGGAGUUCGAGACGACAGCCAUAGGCAAUGGACACUCAUCUAGUAAGGCCACACAAUGUGAGGGGACUCCACACAUUAGCAAAUAUCCACUUUUUAAGAAAUACUGUUUAUCUGGAUUAUGUCGCCUGGGUCUUGAUCCUCCGAAGGAUACAGAUCUCCAUGGAAUAUGGAAGAAAGUUCAGCCUUUUGCUGAACUUAUUGGACCUUAUUGGACUCUUCGAGCUGCUUUCGGGCCUCUUUUGGAAACUUUACUUUUGCUUGAUAGAUUAUUGUUCCUACAAGAGCAAGGCAGUUCAAUUGAAGUAGUCAUGUUACCUAUUUUUGAUCCAGCAUUAUCCCCAAGGAAUGUGGCCAUUAUUGCUAAAAAGUUGACACAAAUUUGACACUGGCAUAAAAUAUAAAACUUGUUGUACGACUACGAACUUAUUAUCCUGCAAUGCAGAUGUAGACGAUAUUUUUCGGAGGAUUUGCUAACUGUAUACAUCAUCCCACUUUAUAGAGUCUCCUAGGGCAAGCUGGAUUGAGAAAGACAGGUGUUGUUGCUAACUUGCUAUAGUAAAGCCACUGGGAGGCUCGUGAGAGGGGACACGUAUUAAUAUUUGACUGACUUUUGUCGUUUUCUGGAAUAGUAGGACAAUUAAUUCACUUCAUUUAAUUCACUUCAAGUUCCUUUUGACUGGGUGGUCACAACUCACAACCCACAAGAGAACAACAAUGGGACUUUUAGAUAAUGCUUGCUUUGGUAUGAGAAAAAAAAACGACAAGGAAAUAGCCGUCGCUGUAGUUUGGUCCAUUUGUAGCUUGGGAUGUACACGAUUGAUCUCAUCUUAUGUGUGUGUGGAAAGUUAGUUACUUGAGUCGAACACAACUUUUUGUGAAUUGAAGUGAAUUUAACGAUUGAUUUAGACAAGAUGCUCUCAUUGUG